GCCAGUGUGGCAUAGUGGUUUGAGUAUUAGGACUACAACUCUGGAGACCAGGGUUCAAAUCCCUGCUCAGCCA